UACGUAGGGUGCAAGCGUUAAUCGGAAUUACUGGGCGUAAAGCGUGCGCAGGCGGUUUUGUAAGUCUGUCGUGAAAUCCCCGGGCUCAACCUGGGAAUUGCGAUGGAGACUGCAAGGCUAGAAUCUGGCAGAGGGGGGUAGAAUUCCAGGUGUAGCGGUGAAAUGCGUAGAUAUCUGGAGGAACACCGGUGGCGAAGGCGACAUCCUGGACCAACACUGACGCUGAGGAGCGAAAGCCAGGGGAGCAAACGGG
rnacentral:rRNA from 1 species